AGUGAACGCUGGCGGCAGGCCUAACACAUGCAAGUCGAACGGCAGCACGGCAGUAGCAAUACUGUGGGUGGCGAGUGGCGGACGGGUGAGGAAUACAUCGGGAUCUACCCUGUUGUGGGGGAUAACGUAGGGAAACUUACGCUAAUACCGCAUAAGAACUGAGGUUGAAAGCGGCGGACCGCAAGGCGUCGCGCGAUUGGAUGAACCGAUGUCCGAUUAGCUAGUUGGCGGGGUAAAGGCCCACCAAGGCGACGAUCGGUAGCUGGUCUGAGAGGACGACCAGCCACACUGGAACUGAGACACGGUCCAGACUCCUACGGGAGGCAGCAGUGGGGAAUAUUGGGACAAUGGGCGCAAGCCUGAUCCAGCCAUGCCGCGUGGGUGAAGAAGGCC
rnacentral:rRNA from 1 species